rnacentral:rRNA from 1 species
CUGGCGGCAGUAGCGCGGUGGUCCCACCUGACCCCAUGCCGAACUCAGAAGUGAAACGCCGUAGCGCCGAUGGUAGUGUGGGGUCUCCCCAUGCGAGAGUAGGGAACUGCCAGACAU